CCUACGGGUGGCAGCAGUGGGGAAUAUUGCGCAAUGGGCGAAAGCCUGACGCAGCGACGCCGCGUGAGGGAUGAAGGUCCUCGGAUCGUAAACCUCUGUCAGCAGGGAAGAACGGUCACUGUGCUAAUCAGCAGUGAAUUGACGGUACCUGCAAAGGAAGCACCGGCUAACUCCGUGCCAGCAGCCGCGGUAAGACGGAGGGUGCGAGCGUUAAUCGGAAUUACUGGGCGUAAAGCGCUCGUAGGCGGUAUGUCAAGUCAAGGGUGAAAGCCCCGGGCUCAACGUGGGAACUGCCUUUGAAACUGGCAAGCUGGAGGGUGUGGGAGGAUAGUGGAAAUGCAGGGGUAGGAGUGAAAU
rnacentral:rRNA from 1 species